CGGGACACGUGGUAUCCUGUCUGAAUAUGGGGGGACCAUCCUCCAAGGCUAAAUACUCCUGACUGACCGAUAGUGAACCAGUACCGUGAGGGAAAGGCGAAAAGAACCCCGGCGAGGGGAGUGAAAAAGAACCUGAAACCGUGUACGUACAAGCAGUGGGAGCACGCUUAGGCGUGUGACUGCGUACCUUUUGUAUAAUGGGUCAGCGACUUAUAUUCUGUAGCAAGGUUAACCGAAUAGGGGAGCCGAAGGGAAACCGAGUCUUAACUGGGCGUUAAGUUGCAGGGUAUAGACCCGAAACCCGGUGAUCUAGCCAUGGGCAGGUUGAAGGUUGGGUAACACUAACUGGAGGACCGAACCGACUAAUGUUGAAAAAUUAGCGGAUGACUUGUGGCUGGGGGUGAAAGGCCAAUCAAACCGGGAGAUAGCUGGUUCUCCCCGAAAGCUAUUUAGGUAGCGCCUCGUGAAUUCAUCUCCGGGGGUAGAGCACUGUUUCGGCAAGGGGGUCAUCCCGACUUACCAACCCGAUGCAAACUGCGAAUACCGGAGAAUGUUAUCACGGGAGACACACGGCGGGUGCUAACGUCCGUCGUGAAGAGGGAAACAACCCAGACCGCCAGCUAAGGUCCCAAAGUCAUGGUUAAGUGGGAAACGAUGUGGGAAGGCCCAGACAGCCAGGAUGUUGGCUUAGAAGCAGCCAUCAUUUAAAGAAAGCGUAAUAGCUCACUGGUCGAGUCGGCCUGCGCGGAAGAUGUAACGGGGCUAAACCAUGCACCGAAGCUGCGGCAGCGACGCUGAUGCGUUGUUGGGUAGGGGAGCGUUCUGUAAGCCUGUGAAGGUGUGCUGUGAGGCAUGCUGGAGGUAUCAGAAGUGCGAAUGCUGACAUAAGUAACGAUAAAGCGGGUGAAAAGCCCGCUCGCCGGAAGACCAAGGGUUCCUGUCCAACGUUAAUCGGGGCAGGGUGAGUCGACCCCUAAGGCGAGGCCGAAAGGCGUAGUCGAUGGGAAACAGGUUAAUAUUCCUGUACUUGGUGUUACUGCGAAGGGGGGACGGAGAAGGCUAUGUUGGCCGGGCGACGGUUGUCCCGGUUUAAGCGUGUAGGCUGGUUUUCCAGGCAAAUCCGGAAAAUCAAGGCUGAGGCGUGAUGACGAGGCACUACGGUGCUGAAGCAACAAAUGCCCUGCUUCCAGGAAAAGCCUCUAAGCAUCAGGUAACAUCAAAUCGUACCCCAAACCGACACAGGUGGUCAGGUAGAGAAUACCAAGGCGCUUGAGAGAACUCGGGUGAAGGAACUAGGCAAAAUGGUGCCGUAACUUCGGGAGAAGGCACGCUGAUAUGUAGGUGAAGCGACUUGCUCGUGGAGCUGAAAUCAGUCGAAGAUACCAGCUGGCUGCAACUGUUUAUUAAAAACACAGCACUGUGCAAACACGAAAGUGGACGUAUACGGUGUGACGCCUGCCCGGUGCCGGAAGGUUAAUUGAUGGGGUCAGCGCAAGCGAAGCUCUUGAUCGAAGCCCCGGUAAACGGCGGCCGUAACUAUAACGGUCCUAAGGUAGCGAAAUUCCUUGUCGGGUAAGUUCCGACCUGCACGAAUGGCGUAAUGAUGGCCAGGCUGUCUCCACCCGAGACUCAGUGAAAUUGAACUCGCUGUGAAGAUGCAGUGUACCCGCGGCAAGACGGAAAGACCCCGUGAACCUUUACUAUAGCUUGACACUGAACAUUGAGCCUUGAUGUGUAGGAUAGGUGGGAGGCUUUGAAGUGUGGACGCCAGUCUGCAUGGAGCCGGCCUUGAAAUACCACCCUUUAAUGUUUGAUGUUCUAACGUUGACCCGUGAUCCGGGUUGCGGACAGUGUCUGGUGGGUAGUUUGACUGGGGCGGUCUCCUCCUAAAGAGUAACGGAGGAGCACGAAGGUUGGCUAAUCCUGGUCGGACAUCAGGAGGUUAGUGCAAUGGCAUAAGCCAGCUUGACUGCGAGCGUGACGGCGCGAGCAGGUGCGAAAGCAGGUCAUAGUGAUCCGGUGGUUCUGAAUGGAAGGGCCAUCGCUCAACGGAUAAAAGGUACUCCGGGGAU
rnacentral:rRNA from 1 species